UGAUUCAAAUGAUUCAAACGUGUAUGGCACAGUUACUGGAUUCUCUGACUGCCUAUUACAGCUUUAGUACAAUUAAAGCUGCGAAGCACGUUUGGUUACAUUUAUGGAUGGUGCAUUCAUGCACUGUCAUAAAGACAGCUAUGUAAUCUUGUUGCAAAGUUGAAUACAAAAUAAAAAUAAUUUUAGAA